GUGUCAUGCUGUGAGGUGCACCAAGGCCUUCUCUGCUCUGUGCUGAACCAGCCCCCGCCACACAGACAAUCCUUGCCUCCUCUGAGCCCCUAAAGUUUGUCAGCCUAUCUCUGGGACCCCAAAGAGGACAUAGUGCUGAAUGAGGCCUGAUGGGUGCUGAGCAGAGGGGAACACCCUUGAGCCUUCUGUCUAGAGGAGAAAGAUAGGAGAAGACCUGUCAGAGCAAGCUCCGUGUGUGGCACUGGGCCUGGCAGUGCUGGGGUGCCAGGCUGCUCCUUGCCAGGCCUACAAGCACUGCCUGAGCACACAGGAGAGAGCUUGUUCUACAAACUUUCUGCUCCCUUCUCUUCCAUCCUUUCUCCUCCUUCAUCAUCUACUACUUCAUCUUCCUGCUGUUCUCCUCUGGUUCUUCUUCACUUUCUUCUGUAAUAGUAGUUUAAAUUUCUUUCCCCUAUGGGCUACGGGGAGGCUCCACACUGGGCCCCCGUCAGGGAAGCUCCUUAGCAACUCUCCUGUUCUUCCCAUAGGCUUUGUAGCCACCAACAUGGAUGGAGCCUGGGCUGGUACCUGGAGGCCUCAUCAUCCAUGUGGUCACAUCACCACCUUGGGAUUCAAGUACAUAAUCCCUGAGAUGACAGGUCCCCAGUACUACAUCCAUCCCUGCAUCAACAAGAAUAGGAAGGAUGUGGAUCCAGCACUACACAUCUGCAGAUGUCCCAAGAUCAAGACCAAUGCCACCCCUGGACCGAGUGAGUACCACUUCUCCAGCCUUUUUUCCAGGCAAGAGAAGCACACCUUACUGUUGGGGGUACAAAAUCUGUACAAACCAACAAAUGCUGUCCACCGCUGCCUCAACAUUGUUCCCAUAGACCAGUGUCAUCGACCUCAUCUGUGAGUGCAGGUAGGACAUGGGGACACACAAGAGUGGGGCUAGGGGAUCACAUAUUAAGAGGACAUCUUUUAAGUUCUGGGUACAGAUAUAUACCUUAUGCAUCAUCAGUGCAGGUACAUGGGGACAGUCAAGGAUAUCCCCCUCCCCCACCCCAUGAUGUUCGGUUUACCUACUGUCUGGGGGAAUUGAGUACUUGGGUCCCGGGCUGAUGAACUGUUCCAUGAUGAGGAUGUGUGAGCAACGAGACAUGCACAGACACAGCACAGUCCUUUCUAGUCCAGUGGUCCCAAGGAGACAGGUUGUUUGAAAUAGGUUGAGUAUGAUCUGCAAUGUGCAAUUUCUGUUCAGGGAAAUUUUUAAGCCUUUUAUGCACUUAUGGUUUUGUUAACACUAGGUAAUAAAACCACACAAAAUCAGACAAAAAGCCCACCAUAAAUGCAGAUGACUGGGCACAUGUGAACUGCAAUAUAUUGCAAUAUGCCAAACACAGAGAGGCUCUCACCCCCUCUCGGUUGUGUGGCUCCCACUCUUGCACCCAGGACAUCUCUUGUACCAUGUGUGAUGCAGGAAUUUCAUAUAUAUGGACCACAGCAAGAUUACCUGUGUCAAUCCAUUUACUAAAUACUAGUAAAGCAAAAUUUCUUUUGUAGAUUAAAAAAACAAUUUCUAACAUUUUCCUGUACCACAAAGGACUGAACAUCCAGUAUGUUAACCCAAGCUUCAUUUCCCUCUGUGUGAGGCAUUAGAUCAUAUCAUUGGGUCAGAACCAGCUUGGGGAUGUGUGUGUGUGGAGGGGGGAGGGGUUGAGUGGAACCUCAUGGAGGUGACAUGGGACACUAUCCCUCAUAGCAGGCCCCUGGAGCACACACAGAGAAACCCCAGAGCAGCUGCCAGUCAAAGGCAGCCUGGGAAAGCUUCAACGCACCACACCUCCUGGAGCCCCUAACCCAGUCUCAGAUUGUCAGGGACAGUGAGAACAUUGCCCCUCACCCUGGUCUGGAGCCCCAGAAUGGCCAGUGGGCUGGAGGUCCCACCUGAGACAGGGGGUGGCCAUAAGGACAAGAGCAGAUAAAACCAAAGGCAUAUGCUCUCCACACAGUCAUGGCCCUGCCGUCUAGACAUGUGAGAGCUGGACUUCCACAAGGAUCCAGUGGUAGCUGUAUUAUAAUCUUUCUCUCUCUCUUCUCUCCUUGCUUUUUCUUCUCUUUCUUUGCUCCUUGAUGUUUUGGGUAUCUUAAAGUUAGUGGGAUUUGAUCCUGCUAAAUUGUGAGGGUUAUGAUGCACUGGGUCAGUACUUUGGUGGAAUGCUUUGUUUGAUUGUAUGCUACCCUCUUAACUUUUGCCAAGUUCUCUUAUUUUCUCCCCUAAAUUAUCAGUAAAGACACUUACUGAGAAAAAGUGUGUGGCUUAUUCUCUUUACGCUAUCUCAAGGUAUUAAAGAACCCUGUAUAUUUUUAAAAGUAAAACCCGCAGAUGAGCUUGCAAUUCUGGGGAUGGGGUGCUAUAUUCUGCCCAUCCUUUGCAAUAGCAGCUUUUAUUGUUUCUUAUUAUUCUAACUUUUUUUUGCUCUGCUCCUUUUAAUUCACCUAGAUCUUGAUAUAAUUUUAGUUAAAAUACUUCCAUUAACCAAAGGCAUUUCAACUCAAAGACAAGGGCACCUGAGAAGGAAAACGUCUGCUCUGGGUUUCACUGUGAGGAGACACUGGCAGUAAAGGUCUUCCAAGGCCCAUCUUCAGCUGGAGGGCAGGGGUGGAAAAUAAUGUGGAAAAGCUCGUCAAUGGAGAUAACGAUGCGUGAAAUGGACUCGGCUGGGGAAAAUUAGUGUAAUUUACUGCUAUUUAUUCAGAUAGUGAGAAAAUAAAAAAACUACCUGCCCACUCUCCUUUCCCCAUGGGAGUUGCACCCCACCGCUGGCAGCUCCUGCCUGGAGCCAUGCUCAGGUGCUGCCUGGGUCCACUCUAGCAUGGGUUCCACUGUCACAGCUCCCUGAAAGACUAUGUCCCUCCUCCAGCAGUGCCCUCCAAAAGCUAUGGGGGAUGUCCGUUCACUGAGGACACAGUGGGGAUUGAGUAUCGUGAUCCUGGGAACUUUGCUUAUUGCCUCCUACUGUCACACCUGCCCUUCCAUCAGAUGAAUGGGCACCCAGACACUGCUGGCACCAUCUUCGGACUAACCAUUCAGUUGUUUGUGGAGCAGCCAUAUUGCCUAAGGGGCUCUGCUGUGGCUGGGCAUUGGGCUGCCGUGGAACUGGCUGAGUGCAGCAUGGGGCAGCCCCACCCAGAUUCUCCACACAGAGACCUGCUUGUGUCCCCAUGCACAGAUACCCAGUACAGCCCUUUCUAGUCAAAUGGUGCCUGAGGACAGGGAUUUGGUCACUGGGCUGAGUCUGGAAUGAACUGCUGACCGUGGAGCUGGGAGAGGCUCCUGCCUCGAAGGGCCUAUGAGAACUGCCCGCUCCAAUUCCCACCCCUUUGCCUAGAAACCAGGAGAGAAUCGUUUUGUUAUCACCACUUAGCCAGAAGGGAAGAACAGCUCCCCAGAGAUGCAGUAGAAUCCCAUCGCUGGGGGCAAUCAAGUUGCAGUUGGCCGGGUGCUAGAUAUUCUCCUCCAGGCUGCCUUUCUCACACAAGGGCUGCAUGGACCUUCCAAGGUCCCUUGCCAUCUGGGCUCUUGCAUUUUCAGACUGAGUGUAAUGAUUCUUUCUCCAUAACUGUUGGUGUUCUGGCGACUUGCCUGUGGAAAUGAGGCCCUGCCCGUGUCAAGAGGUGAUGCAGAGCAGCUGUGUUUCUGGGUGCACCCUGGUGCGCAGAUGCCACCCAUGUGCAUUGUAAAGGAGGAUGCUGAGAAGGGCUGUGCCCUUGGGGGCCAACCUACACUUGUGGGAUGUUUAGCCAUAGGAUGAAAGCGUGCAAGGUGGCACUGGAAUGCUUUCACAGCACAGUGCUUUGCUCUGGUCAGGUGAAACAGCGCUGUUGGAGAUGUCAGUCUUGCUCACUCUGUUACCUCACUGUUCUCCCCUCACCUCACCUUGCUGUGUUUUGGCUGAGGCGUAGCCAUGAAAAGGAGAGAACCAAUGGUCUCCACCCAUGCACACCCAUGCAUCCCUGCAGCAGAGAGUAAACAGAAAAGAUCUUUGGAGGUAUCUGGUUUUAUUCAGGAGGCAUCCGAGGUAAUAAAGCAGCUUUGUAGAGGGAAUGACGAAGUCCGAAAGUGUAAGCAGGUUCCCGGGCCUUGAUCAGCGUCACCUGGAAGGGGAAAGUGUGAAGAAAUAAGUGUGACAGUGAUGCCUUGUUCUCCAGACUUGUCCUCAAGUGAAGGCCAACCAGCAUAACACAUUGUGGACAUGUUGCCUUACUUUUCCCACGCUGUAGUCUGCUGGCCCUGGACGCAGGGUCUUGUCAGUAAGUUUAGUUUUUAGUCCCAUUGUGUACUUGGGAGCCCUCUUUUUGUAGACAUCCAGUUCCACCUUGGAGAAUGCCGCAGGACCUGGUGUCUGUAAGAGAAGCAGGGAGGUUGAUGGGUAGAAAAAACAGUGUUGAUUUUUGCCGAGCCCCCAUGUGGGCUGCACUGCUCUAGGUGGCUGGAUAGAGAAGUGGUGUGGGAGGCACAGAACCUUGGGAAGGAGGGCACCUCCUGUUCUCCUGCAGAGACAGAUUUCCCAGAGGAGAAGGGAGAUUGCUGUUAGUGCCAAUGAGCUGUGCCCCACCAAAGCUGUUAGUGUUGGAAAGCGAGGGACUGCAGGUGUCAGUGUUGCUGGUAAGAGCAGAGAGCCCGGGGCCCCAUGGCUUCUCAGGCUUUGCUGCAGGUGCAGGGAAGAGUGUGUUACACAGGGCUGCAGCAGCCACUGGAGCCCUGCUGCCCUAAAGAGAGCAGCUGAGCUUCCACUGCUGCUUCAAGAGAGCAGAGAAGCACAGCUCACCUUGGCCAGGUCUUGAAAGCAGCUGUUGUACAUACUCUUCCAUCUCAUGGAGUAGCAUGGCUCGGCAUGGGUGUAGACUGUGUGGGGUCCCAGCAGCCUGGGAAGGGUGUAGGCGCCAGGACCUGGAAAGGGAAUGGGAAGAGAGCAUGGGUGAGUCCUGUGGGAAAGGGAGCAAUGCCUAGGUAGGAGAGAAUCAGUCUACCAAACCAGCUCUGAUAAGCAGGAUGGGUAUCCUGUCCCUCCUCCCAGUGACUCUGCCUUCUGUUGCACAUGUCAUACACUGGCCAUUCAAAGCCAGAGUGCUGGUUCUUCUGUGAGAUGGGAGAAAGUUGGUGCUCCUGGACAGCAAGAAGCUUGUCAAGAGCAUGCUACAUCCUGUCAUCUAGGCUUCUUGCUAGGCCUGUUGAAGAAGCUGUGCAGCAGAUGUUCUCUGGAGGACACAUAGGCAGUUCCCAAGUUCCCAUACCUGGUGUUUGGAGAGCAUCACUGAGCUUGUGCCGGAAGACCAUGGACUGUACUGGUGCAUUAGAGUAGACAUGUUUGUCAGCCUUUUCUGUGGAAUAGUCACCUGAGAGAGAGGAAAAGCCGAGAAAAGCAGUGAAGCUGGGUACCUAACUGCAAGCCAAAGAGGAGAGGUCAGGAGGAGGUGUUUGUUUCCUGUCUGGAACCCUCUGAAGCCCAUUCAGAGGUGGUUUUGUGGCACAGGACAACAGUAAGGCCUGGAAGAAGGGCUGCAGAAACGGUACUCACUAGGUCCAGGGGUGACCUCAGACUUGGUUUUGGGACGUCCAACCAGGUGUGCUGAUGGAGGCACAUAUUUCCCAAUCUUGGUGAUGGAGGGAUGGAUGAAGUAGCGAGGACCUGGAGAGCAGCUUUCUGCAACUGGACCUUUGGCCCCUCUAAACGUGUAUGCAGGGGCUUUGUCUCUGGUGGGAUCGUGAGACGCGUGACCUGGGAAAAAAAGCCUGUGAAAGGACAUCUGCCUGCAACUGCACAAUGAAAGGCAGUUUCUAAGUGGAAACAGUAGAUGUGCUGUGCCUCCCCCACACCUCCCCAUGAUCGUUGGUUUACCUGUUGUCCCAGGGAUCCAGUAUUUAGGUCCUGGAGUGCUGAAUUCUGCCAGAAUGGGGCCACGUCGGGGAUGAGGCCUCCAGGUGCCCACCCAUGGUCCCUCCAUGUUGGUGGCUACAAAAACUAUGGGAAAAACAGGAGAGCUACCAAGGGGCUUCCCUGACAGAGCCCUGGUGUGGAGCUUUCCUGUAGCCCAGACGGGCAAAAAGGUGAAACUAACAUCACAGAAAAACGUAAAGUAGAGAAGUAGGAAAGUCAAGUAGCAAAUAAAAGAGGAGGAGGGAUGGGGGGGAGCAGCAAGUCUGUAGCAAAAAUGCAGAAAAACCUCCCUGCUGUGCCCACGGGCAGAUUUUGCUGGCCUGCCACACAGCAGCCUAGGACCACGGCAUUUACACAGCAGCAAGAUAGUCUCAGACACGUGUGCUCACAAACUUGCUUGCCUGGAGUUUGGCACUGGCUAGGUGGGAUGCCCGGAUAUAACCAGCGAGGGACGCCAGGUCUUCGGUGUCCUCAUAAUCUAUUGCUAGGUGGAUCCAUCAUCGGUGAUGUGCAUCACUAGGUGACAUCACAAAAGGCCACCCUCACCCAAUGAGGGCCAUCAUGGGGUGAGGCCCAUUGUGAUGUUGAGGAUGGCUGUUCAGCUGUUUGUGCAGCAGCCAUAUGGCCUCCACUGUGGCUGGGCAUGGGGCUGCCGUGGAACUGGCUGAGUGCAGCAUGGGGCAGCCCCACCCAGAUUCUCCACACAGAGACCUGCUUGUGUCCCCAUGCACAGAUAUCCAGUACAGCCCUUUCUAGUCAAGUGGUGCCUGAGGACAGGGAUUUGGUCACUGGGCUGAGUCUGGAAUGAACUGCUGACCAUGAAGCUGGGAGAGGCUCCUGCCUCAAAGGGCCUAUGAGAACUGCCCGCUCCAAUUCCCACCCCUUUGCCUAGAAACCAGGAGAGAAUCGUUUUGUUAUCACCACUUAGCCAGAAAGGAGGAACAGCCUCCCCAAGGACUGGAAGAGUUAAGCAGUCUUUAUCUCAAACUUUGCACUUUUUUUGCUUUUGCCUUUCUAUUCAUUCCUCCAUCCAGCUCUGGAGGGAAAGGAGUGAGUAAACUGCUAACGUGGCUUAGCUGCUGGUGAGGCUCAACCCCUGAGUUUCUACCCAUCUUUAAGCAACAGAGUAAGAAUGGCCUUCCUCUGUGGUGAAUAAAUGUUGUGAGUUAGCCGUAACAA